rnacentral:rRNA from 1 species
AGAGUUUGAUCCUGGCUCAGAGUGAACGCUGGCGGCAGGCCUAACACAUGCAAGUCGAGCGGCAGCGCGUCCGACCACCCUCGGGUGGUCGGAUGGCGGCGAGCGGCGGACGGGUGAGGAAUGCAUCGGAAUCUGCCUCGUUGUGGGGGAUAACGUAGGGAAACUUACGCUAAUACCGCAUACGACCUACGGGUGAAAGUGGGGGACCUUCGGGCCUCACGCGAUGAGAUGAGCCGAUGCCGGAUUAGCUAGUUGGCGGGGUAAAGGCCCACCAAGGCGACGAUCCGUAGCUGGUCUGAGAGGAUGAUCAGCCACACUGGAACUGAGACACGGUCCAGACUCCUACGGGAGGCAGCAGUGGGGAAUAUUGGACAAUGGGGGCAACCCUGAUCCAGCCAUGCCGCGUGUGUGAAGAAGGCCUUCGGGUUGUAAAGCACUUUUGUUGGGGAAGAAACCGGCCGGGUUAAUACCCUGGUUGAAUGACGGUACCCAAAGAAUAAGCACCGGCUAACUCCGUGCCAGCAGCCGCGGUAAUAC